AUUGAACGCUGGCGGCAGGCCUAACACAUGCAAGUCGAACGGUAACAGGAAACAGCUUGCUGUUUCGCUGACGAGUGGCGGACGGGUGAGUAAUGUCUGGGAAACUGCCUGAUGGAGGGGGAUAACUACUGGAAACGGUAGCUAAUACCGCAUAACGUCGCAAGACCAAAGAGGGGGACCUUCGGGCCUCUUGCCAUCGGAUGUGCCCAGAUGGGAUUAGCUAGUAGGUGGGGUAACGGCUCACCUAGGCGACGAUCCCUAGCUGGUCUGAGAGGAUGACCAGCCACACUGGAACUGAGACACGGUCCAGACUCCUACGGGAGGCAGCAGUGGGGAAUAUUGCACAAUGGGCGCAAGCCUGAUGCAGCCAUGCCGCGUGUAUGAAGAAGGCCUUCGGGUUGUAAAGUACUUUCAGCGGGGAUGAAGGGAUUAAAGUUAAUACCUUUGCUCAUUGACGUUACCCGCAGAAGAAGCACCGGCUAACUCCGUG
rnacentral:rRNA from 1 species